CAGUCAAAAAAUAUUAAGGUCAUAGGUCAAUUUACGAUCAAAAUGGCGGAAAAACGUAGCUGAGGAGUUUGAAACACAAACACUGCCAAACUGUGCUGUUUUUCUCACUACAGAAACAUGUGGGUGAUAAGUAAGAAGGUCCAGGAGUAUCUGCUGUUGUUGCUCCUAGUAGCCAUCGUGCUACUGGCCUGGGGGUUUGUCAUCUAUGCAGGUCGUAUCUCCGCAUUACGCAUGAUCACACAGACUCUUCAGAACUGACAGGAGAUGUCAAUCAAUCAAUCAAUCUGAUCAGUGGAUUGGAAGGACGGGAGGGACACAUGAGGAGCUGCAGUGUUGGAACAAUAGCAGUUUAAACCCUCGGUAUGUGUGCAAAGUCAUCAUCAUGAUCAUCAUACUCCUGUGCAAUUGUUGAACUUGACGUGUGGCCCGCUAUGGACAGAAAUGUCUAUGACUAUGAGAAUGACUGCAUCAUUACCAGUAUUUAGUGAGGAAUGAUUACAAAAUGCUUUUAUUGAAAUGUCUUCAUGGAUAAUGGUCAAUGUCAUGUGAUAAGAAAAAGACUUGGUAUCCUAGAAUGGAGAAUCAUUGUAUACUUCAAAAUACUUUUGAUAAGCUUUGAAUGUUUGCUUAAGAAUUUUCUGAAAGAAUUUGGUGAAAGUCAUAACUGGAAUUCUUAACUAAUCCAUAGUACUACUUAUUGGGAAUACUGUAUCACUUGUUUUAUAUUAUAAACUUGUUCUUGCUACUCCGAGCAAACCUUUUAUAAUGGCAGCCAUUAUAGACUAUAAGCACUCUUCUGCACCCAAUCUGAAGUUUGCCCUGGAUAUAACGGAGGGUUCUUCCAUCCCUAUAAACAAAACUCUGUUUGCCUUUGAUUGGGACCUGACAUUAAAAGUCUACAACAGAGUCUCCCAGGACAUGUUUGUGAGAGGAAGAGAGGAAUCAGUCCAUGUUCUACACCACCUGAAACAGCAGGGAGGAAGACUGGCUGUUGUAACAGCCCGUGACCCCAGUCCAUUAGUCUGGGAGACUGUUAACAUUGAACUUUCCGCACUUAGUCUUCCCGAACUAUUUGAUGAUGGUGUUAAAGGAGAGAAAAGAGGAUGCAUUCCUAUGAAGACAGCUUCGGGCACAUCCAUGUAUGUGGGCCAUGGAAUCAUUGUUGCUGGAUAUGAGAAAGCAGAAGCCUUGGAUCAAUACUGUAAAACUCUAAAUAUGGAGCCAGAGCACCUGGUUUUUGUAGAUGAUUUUGUGGUUAAUGCCUACAACGUUGGUGCAUACUUUGGCCAGGCUGAAAAGUCUGGAUUGUUCAAGAAGGUGACAACAGUUUGGUGGGACCCGAAAGCUUUGGUACCACAUGACUUACCAAGUCUUCCAAACAGUGAGAACUCGUAUUCAGACUAUUUGAUAGAGUACAGGAAGAUGUUUGGUGUAGAGUGAUCAAUUCUGCUUUGUUCUAUAUUAUCAACCUUUUACUACUUUGUACAAGUGUUUGUUUUUUUAUACUGUUUUAAAGAUAGAAGCUCUUAAUAGAAAUGUAAAGGGGGAGGUUACAAGGAUGUCUAUGCAAGCAAACUGUUUUUAGUGUUAGUGGGGACCAUCUGACCAUGUGAUUGAUAAAUGAUAGAUGAAUUACACAAAUGCAAAGAAUAAAUCAAAGCUUUAUUUUGAAAACA